UACGGUGCGUCUCAGUGUAAGGAUGCGCUGUAGCUAACAUCGUGAUGAGUAUUGCAACAAUAUCUAAUUAUAACGGACUUAUUCAACGACUGGCAAGCAUGCGACUUCCACUGUUCAAGAGGAUUUAGAUUCAGUCUGCUUUGAUCUGCAACACACCGUCCUCCCUCUUGUGGCGCGAAACAUUUGCGACUGUCACGUGACUCGACGUCUGCGUCGCAAUACUUCAUCAGAAGCCGUUAGCUGGGAGGCAGGCAGUGAAAAAGAUUCAGACUAAAAUGGACUUGGUGAGACUGCCUGAAGAAUUAAAAAUAGUAAAAGAAGAAAGAAGCCAACGAAAUAUAGAAAGACGCUCCAAAACUCAACAGUUUGUACAGACACCACAAAGUGAUUGUGUCUUGAGAUCAGUUGGUGGUGACUUUCUGGAAAAAAAGAUGGCUUUAAGGUAAUGGAUCAUGGUUUCCUAUUGGUUAAUCUUCUGCCUGAUCCUGUCAUGGUCAAAUCUUCCUGGCAUCUAAGAUGUAGUCUACUUGACACAAAUGCGCUGCAAACUACCGUCUGGUGAAGGCUGGCAGUCAAGCCCCCCAAGUUCGUUUGUCCAAGGGACAUAAUUUCAUGUCGAUGCCCUUCCACACUGUAUUUCAGGGGAGCCUAUUUGAGCGGCAGUUAAUUUUUCCUUCUUCCCCAGAUAGAUUUGCUCGUUAAAAGUAAGUAUUGGUAAAUGAUUGGUAGUUAGCUUUUUGCAAAUUCCGAGAAAGUUACUUUAUUUGAAUACCUCUUUUUUACAUGUAUGGAUUGUUUUUGUAAAUAUAUUGAAAUAUUUGUGCUCAUUUAUGCAACCUGGGUUGUGUUGUAUGCCCUUAGGAAAGGGUAUUUUACAGUUCUUACUGGGAUUGAGGGUGUACUGUUCACGCAGUACAUAUACUAAAAUUGGAACGAUACAGAGAAGAUUAGCAUGGCCCCUGCGCAAGGAUGACACGCAAAUUCGUGAAGCGUUCCAUAUUUUUUUUUAAAUCGCUACUUUUUUCUCCGAAUGUUUAAUAUGCAGGAAAUAUUUUGAAAUAGGCUUCCGAGCUUGUAGCUUGGCAAAUUAAGGGUAUGUGCGCCACAUGCUUCCAUUGAAAUGAAUGCAGAAGUAUCUUGGACUCCACAAAGAGAACAAGACUGAAAAAAAUGUGAUUUGUUAAGAAUGUUAGCCAUCCAUUAAAUGCCUAUGUGUGCUGUCAUA